rnacentral:lncRNA from 1 species
UCGAGUCACCUCGGAAAGAGAUAAAUGGCGAGAGCUCCUGUUGCAGUAGCAGUCUUCCUGGUUCUUCUCCUCCUAUCCUUGCUCCAAAUCUCUCCUGCUGCAGGUUUGUUGUGCUGAAAGAAGGUUGUUCUUUCCGCUACUAACAGAUUUGAACUUUCAGCAUCCAAUCUAGUAGCACCGCGUAAGCUGCUUCUAGUCGUCUUGCAUGAUGGAGAACCCGCUCCUCCUGGAAAGGUCUGAUAACUCUCUUCUUCUCAAACCGUGUUUCUUCAGUAGCAAGCUUUAGAGAAAAGAAGAAGAAAAGAGGGAAAUCACCUGACAGUUAGUUUGAAUUUCAACUGUUUGCAGCUAUAUCACUCGUCUCGCUGGAUUUCCGAAGAAGGCAGCUUUGAUGAGCAAGUCUUCCAUACUGACUAUCCCAACCCACACCGGGGACCUUCACCUGGUGGACAUUCUAACAAGCCAGGAAUCUAGAAACUUUACUCGGAAGCCUGCGGUGCUCGAGCCGAGCGAGAGAUAUCCUCAGUCUCUUCGAUAAUUCGUCCGUCCAGGGGUAUCAGAUUAGGAAUUCCAUCGAUGAUCUGCGGGAAAAGCGAGCAGUCAGAAGGAAUGAACAAGAGAAACACACGCAUAAAGAAGAAAAAAAGAAGAAAGAGAAAAGAAUAAAAAAAGAAGAAGAAGAAGAAGAAGAAAAAAAGUAACCAAUAAAGCUACGAAGUUUUGUAAGUCACAGUCGUGUAGAGAGCUCUCAUCACACGCACCGGAUAUGCGACGCCCAGUUCGUCGCUGAUGAGCUCCUGUCUCUUCUCACUAUAUCUGUGAAUGAUGGAUCAUCAGUGAGCAUACCAGUGUUUUUCAGCAUCUAGAGAAAAUUUUAACUCUAUUUUCUUCCGAGGAUUCGAUGCCGAUUUCCUGGCGGCAAUGAUAAACAAAUGAAAUAGCAGGGAAUUCCAAUCCAGUACAAUGCCAGGCGCGACGAAAGAGAGAAGAAUUUUUGCUGCCUAUCGAUUCCAUAGGUCGAUGAUUGAUCGUACCUGAGACCCGUCUUGCUGAGCGGGCACACCAGGAACUCGAGCAGCUUUGGAUCGAACGCGCGCUUGGCCAUCGCCAUGAAAAUCCACUCCCGGUGAAAUAUUUC